rnacentral:rRNA from 1 species
GAGUGCUUGACACAAACGGAUUAAGGAUUUUCACUUAGUGGCGCGAAGGGUGAGUAACACGUGGGUUAUCUGCCUUGGAGACUGGAAUAACAAUUGGAAACGAUUGCUAAUGCCGGAUGAUAUGUAAGAUGAUACGUUAUCUUAUAUUAAAAGGAGCCUUUAAAGCUUCACUUCAAGAUGAGCCUGCGGCGCAUUAGCUAGUUGGUGGGGUAAUGGCCUACCAAGGCAACGAUGCGUAGCCGAACUGAGAGGUUGAUCGGCCACAUUGGGACUGAGACACGGCCCAAACUCCUACGGGAGACAGCAGUUAGGAAUAUUCGUCAAUGGGGAAACCCUGAACGAGCAAUGCCGCGUGAAUGAUGACGGUCCUCUGGAUUGUAAAAUUCUGUUGUUGAGGAAGAACGUCCUGUGUAGGAAAUGACAUAGGAGUGACGGUACUCUUCAAGAAAGCUCCGGCUAACUACGUGCC